GACGAACGCUGGCGGCGUGCUUAACACAUGCAAGUCGAACGGUGAAGCGCCUUCCUUUUUGGUGGGUGUGGAUGAGUGGCGAACGGGUGAGUAACACGUGAGUAACCUGCCCCCUUCUUCUGGAUAACCGCAUGAAAGUGUGGCUAAUACGGGAUAUUCUGGGUCUGUCGCAUGAUGGGUCUGGGAAAGAUAUUGUUUCGGUGGGGGAUGGGCUCGCGGCCUAUCAGCUUGUUGGUGGGGUGAUGGCCUACCAAGGCGGUGACGGGUAGCCGGCCUGAGAGGGUGGGCGGUCACACUGGGACUGAGACACGGCCCAGACUCCUACGGGGGGCAGCAGUGGGGAAUAUUGCACAGUGGGCGCAAGCCUGAUGCAGCGACGCCGCGUGCGGGAUGGAGGCCUUCGGGUUGUGAACCUCUUUCGCCAGUGAAGCAGGCCUGCCUCGUUUGUGGGUGGGUUGACGGUAGCUGGAGAAGAAGCGCCGGCUAACUACGUG
rnacentral:rRNA from 1 species